CCUACGGGAGGCAGCAGUGAGGAAUAUUGGUCAAUGGGCGCGAGCCUGAACCAGCCAAGCAGCGUGAAGGAUGAAUGCCCUACGGGUUGUAAACUUCUUUUAUAAAGGAAUAAAGUGAGGCACGUGUGCCUUUUUGUAUGUACUUUAUGAAUAAGGAUCGGCUAACUCCGUGCCAGCAGCCGCGGUAAUACGGAGGAUCCGAGCGUUAUCCGGAUUUAUUGGGUUUAAAGGGAGCGUAGAUGGGUUGUUAAGUCAGUUGUGAAAGUUUGCGGCUCAACCGUAAAAUUGCAAUUGAUACUGGCAGUCUGGAGUACGGUUGAGGUAGGCGGAAUUCGUGGUGUAGCGGUGAAAUGCUUAGAUAUCGCGAAGAACUCCGAUUGCGAAGGCAGCUUGCUAAACUGCCACUGACGUUGAUGCUCGAAAGUGUGGGUAUCGAACAGGAUUAGAUACCCGUGUAGUC
rnacentral:rRNA from 1 species